GGGGAUUUAGCUCAGUGGUUCUGGCGUCUGCCUUGCAAGCACAAGGUCACAAGUUCAAUCUCCGAAUCCCCA
rnacentral:tRNA from 1 species